AAGUUGCAAAGCACUUUGAAGAGAGAGUUAAAGAGGACGUGAAACCGAUGAGGUGGAAACGGAUAGAACCAGCGUAUCUGGCCUGCAUUCAACCGCUCGCGGGAAGCGCUCGUGCAGCUGGCGACCCCAGAUUGGGACAGUUGUGCGAGUCAUGCAGAGGUGCAUUUGCAGGUCGAGUGCGCCGAAAGGCUCGGGGCAGCAGCACGUGCUUGUGAGCCCGGUUUUGAGGCCAGCUUGCUGGUACCCGGACUUGGGGGAGUGCUGUUUGUUCUGAGUUAUAACUGGGCAUGGCUUACGGGUUUGAUGGACGCGUUAUGAAAGGACUGAAGGUUGGCGGCGGUCGCUUGCGAGUGCCAACAGUCCUAUCAUUCUCGGUGUAAGAGCUGGUCAUCUCUCCGACAGGCACACGACCGCAGCAUGCCGUCUUGAAACACGGACCAAGGAGUUUAUCGUGUGCGCGAGUCAUUGGGCGUUGAAAACCCAAAGGCGCAAUGAAAGUGAAGUGCCACGCAAGUGGUGGUUGGAUUCACUUGCCUACUGAUGUGCGAUGUUGUGUGCCAGCCCCAUCCUGGCUGCUUGCAGCGGGGUGGAGGAAGAGCGUGCGCGAUGAGACCCGAAAGAUGGUGAACUAUUCCUGAGCAGGAUGAAGCCAGAGGAAACUCUGGUGGAAGUCCGAAGCGAUUCUGAAGUGCAAAUCGAUCGUCUGACUUGGGUAU
rnacentral:rRNA from 1 species